GAAACGACUGCUAAGACUGGAUAGGAAGAAAUAAGGCAUCUUAUUUCUUUUAAAAGACCUAGUAAUAGGUAUACUUUAGGAGGGGCUUGCGCCAUAUUAGUUAGUUGGUAGGGUAAUGGCCUACCAAGACGAUGAUGUGUAGCUGGACUGAGAGGUUGAACAGCCACAUUGGGACUGAGACACGGCCCAAACUCCUACGGGAGGCAGCAGUAAGGAAUUUUCGGCAAUGGAGGAAACUCUGACCGAGCAACGCCGCGUGAACGACGAAGUACUUUGGUAUGUAAAGUUCUUUUAUCAAGGAAGAAAAGCAAGUGGCGAACCAUUUGUUUGCCGGUACUUGAUGAAUAAGCCCCGGCUAAUUAUGUGCCAGCAGCCGCGGUAAGACAUAAGGGGCAAGUGUUAUCCGGAAUUAUUGGGCGUAAAGGGUGCGUAGGCGGUCUAGUAAGUCAGUGGUGUAAUGGCAACGCUCAACGUUGUCCGGCUAUUGAAACCGCUAAACUUGAGUUAGAUAGAGGCGAGUGGAAUUCCAUGUGUAGCGGUAAAAUGCGUAAAUAUAUGGAGGAACACCAGAGGCGUAGGCGGCUCGCUGGGUCUUAACUGACGCUGAGGCACGAAAGCGUGGGGAGCAAACAGGAUUAGAUACCCUGGUAGUCCACGCCGUAAACGAUGAGUACUAAGUAUCGGGUUAAACCGGUACUGAAGUUAACACAUUAAGUACUCCGCCUGAGUAGUACGUACGCAAGUAUGAAACUUAAAGGAAUUGACGGGACUCCGCACAAGCGGUGGAUCAUGUUGUUUAAUUCGAAGAUACCCGAAAAACCUUACCAGGUCUUGACAUGUUUUUGCGAAACGGUAGUAAUAUCGUAGAGGUUAUCAGAAACACAGGUGGUGCAUGGUUGUCGUCAGCUCGUGUCGUGAGAUGUUAGGUUAAGUCCUAAAACGAGCGAAACCCUUAUCGUUAGUUGCCAGCACGUUAUGGUGGGGACUUUAACGAGACUGCCAGUGAUAAACUGGAGGAAGGUGAGGAUCACGUCAAAUCAGCAUGCCCCUUAUGACCUGGGCUACAAACGUGAUACAAUGGCUGUUACAAAGGGUAGCUGAAACGUAAGUUCUUGGCCAAUCCCCAAAAACAGUCUCAGUCCGGAUUGAAGUCUGCAACUCGACUUCAUGAAGUUGGAAUCGCUAGUAAUCGCGAAUCAGCAUGUCGCGGUGAAUACGUUCUCGGGGUUUGUACACACCGCCCGU
rnacentral:rRNA from 1 species